rnacentral:rRNA from 1 species
UAACCUGCCUUGGAGUGGGGAAUAACAGCUGGAAACAGCUGCUAAUACCGCAUAAUAUGUCUGAAUCGCAUGGUUCUGGACAUCAAAGAUUUAUCGCUCUGAGAUGGACUCGCGUCUGAUUAGCUGGUUGGCGGGGUAACGGCCCACCAAGGCGACGAUCAGUAGCCGGACUGAGAGGUUGGCCGGCCACAUUGGGACUGAGACACGGCCCAGACUCCUACGGGAGGCAGCAG